rnacentral:rRNA from 1 species
AUUGAACGCUGGCGGCAUGCCUAACACAUGCAAGUCGAACGGCAGCGCGGGGGCAACCCUGGCGGCGAGUGGCGGACGGGUGAGGAACACAUAGGAAUCUGCCCAGUUGUGGGGGAUAACCCGGGGAAACUCGGACUAAUACCGCAUGAGACGGAGACGUGAAAGCAGGGGACCGCAAGGCCUUGCGCGACUGGAUGAGCCUAUGUCGGAUUAGCUAGUUGGUAGGGUAAAGGCCUACCAAGGCGACGAUCCGUAGCUGGUCUGAGAGGAUGAUCAGCCACACCGGGACUGAGACACGGCCCGGACUCCUACGGGAGGCAGCAGUGGGGAAUAUUGGACAAUGGGGGCAACCCUGAUCCAGCAAUGCCGCGUGUGUGAAGAAGGCC